GCCCUGAUAGUGUAGUCCGGUCUAUCAUGCAGCCCUGUCGAGGCUGCGACCCGGGUUCGAAUCCCGGUCAGGGCG
rnacentral:tRNA from 1 species